AAAAUCAUUUUGUUAAAAUGAACAAGAUUAUGUACCGAAAGGGCACUAAUUGGUUAAUUAGUGUAAUCAAGUCCCCGAACCUAAAUUCUCUGGUUGCGUAGGAAGUGAGGCACGCUCCCAUGCCUCACUUGGUUUCUAGCCGACCCCAAUAGGCUAGUGGCGACUCCUUUUAUGCAAAAUUUCUUAAGAAUAUCCCAACGUCAUGCGGGGUAUGGGCUUGGGAGAGCUCGCGCCUGAUCAUGGGCCUUAGGCCCGUCCUUUGGGCAAUACCCCUAAACCUGUUCCCUCCCCCCGAGGGUAGGUCGCGACAGCUUGGCGACUCCGCUGGGGACUUGGUUUUAAACUUUAGAGGACUUAGGCCAAAAUUAAUCUUGUUCAAAAAUAUUUUUGGUUGGCAGCAAAGAUAGUAUGUGCAUCCAUAACAUGUCAAAUGUUAAUUGUUUAUGGGAGUUAUAAGGGGUG
rnacentral:lncRNA from 1 species